rnacentral:tRNA from 1 species
UGGCUCAGUGGUAGAGUGCUUGCCUUGCAUGCAUGAGGCCCUGGGUUCAAUUCCUGA